CAGUUGGUUGGUAGCUGUUGAGCCAAGGGCGGUAGCUUG
rfam:Serratia symbiotica genome assembly, type strain CWBI-2.3T, contig: SYMBAF_Contig_2